AAGCCUGCUGUUGAGGGAGGAACGAGCUGCACGCGCACGCUCCGCCUCAUGAGGAGGAGAAUGAAAAAGCAGGAGAUUCUGAUGAGCGAGGCUUUUAUCCCUCAGUUCGGCUGACCCGGCGCCUAAAUAGCAGGCAGGAUCUCUUGGAUUGACACCUUGCUUAACUGAGUGGUUGUGCUUUACUGAAUUUUUCCAUUGCUGAAGAAUCCAUCAGAACCAUUGGUAUCUGAAGAGACAAGGUAUCUUGCUGCAACUUCACUAAGUGGCAUUUCUUGUCGAUGAGAGGAACUCGUCUCUCUCUUCCCACACAAACAGAGCGCAGAAUGGAGCUGUAGUAUGGACUUCUUUCAGAAAGACAGCAACAAAAAUAAGACUCAGAGUAAAGGUCACUUCUGAUCCAGCUUACACAGACCUUCCAUGUUUGUUCCCUGUCUACAGACCACGAGCUCUCAGGUUCAAGGCAGCAAGACUCACAAUCCUGCUUACAGAAUGUGCCUGUUUUGCAGUCAUGGAGGCACCCGGCCAGAUGAGGUUCAAGCUGGUCUGCAUUGAUUUGAACUUAAGGUAGUGUUGGAACUGCUCUAUUACCUGGAAGAACUCUGGAUUCUGGUUAAGUUCAUUUUGAUCCUGCUCAUAUUGGCUGCUUAAAGUGUACUUACACACAGCUUGAGCCUGUCUGGAUGCUGUUCUUCCUCUUCAGUCAUUUUUCUGCCCUGAUUUGUAUUCCUGCCCUCCAGCAUAACGUUAUUCAGAAACUUCUCGUCCUCCUGUGCAGCAGCAUAAAUAAGUUUGGCCACUGGGAAUACAGUACAGGGGUGGGAAAACAAUCCCGUAAUUGAAGACCUACUUCUAGCACCAGCGUUGCGAAUUAAAUCCAUCAGAGGACUCUCAGAACCCAGGACAACUUGCCACCUCAGAGCAACUUAUGCAUUGAAGAGUGUAGAUGGAAGCAACGGUAAGUAGAUUAAACAGAGGCUAAUACUGUGAUUGACGUUGGCAAUGGUUGGCAAAAAAAGGAAGAAAAGAAAAAAAAAGAAAAAGCUCUGAUAAAACUGCACAAAACAAUUCACAGUACUAUUUUAGCUUUUCCACACCAGGAAUGGACUCUCUUUGUUUUGCAGUUGGUUUCAUUGCAGAUGCUCUCUGGUUUUUGAAGUCAGCCGGCGACCGCUCACGGAGGCUGGGAGGGACCCUGCUCAGAGCGGGGCCGGGAGAGCGCCUUGCUGACGGCCAGGGGUACCAGCAGGCGUGCUUGUGCAGCUUCCUUAAGGAUCUCUGUACUAAAAUAACCUGGUAACAAGAACUGUAACUUUUUUUUUUUUUUUUUAACCUCCAAAUUGCUCAUAGAAGCAGCUGGAGGAAAGCAAAGAAAUAAUUGCACCUGGUUUCAUUUCAGAAGUUGUGUUCUUGCAAAGCUGCCCCGGUCGAAGGUGUUGCCAUUUUAUGUGACGAGACAGCAAAUGCCUCUCUUGUCAGUUAGAGUUUGUUAUCGUUGUCUUCUCCUUCGUAGUCUGUAGGUCUUUAGGAUCUGUUGCCCCAAGCCAACAUCCUGCACCACCAAGGACAAGGGAUUUUUUUUCCUUUUUCUUUUUUUUUUUUCUUUUUUUCUUUUCU